GACUGCGUAAUGUUUCAGCCGUCACAUGAA
rnacentral:piRNA from 1 species